rnacentral:rRNA from 1 species
GUGGGGAAUCUUGCGCAAUGGGCGAAAGCCUGACGCAGCCAUGCCGCGUGAAUGAUGAAGGUCUUAGGAUUGUAAAAUUCUUUCACCGGGGACGAUAAUGACGGUACCCGGAGAAGAAGCUCCGGCUAACUUCGUGCCAGCAGCCGCGGUAAUACGAAGGGGGCUAGCGUUGCUCGGAAUUACUGGGCGUAAAGGGCGCGUAGGCGGACAGCUUAGUCAGAGGUGAAAGCCCAGGGCUCAACCUUGGAAUUGCCUUUGAUACUGGCUGUCUGGAGUUUGGGAGAGGUGAGUGGAACUCCGAGUGUAGAGGUGAAAUUCGUAGAUAUUCGGAAGAACACCAGUGGCGAAGGCGACUCACUGGCCCAAUACUGACGCUGAGGCGCGAAAGCGUGGGGAGCAAACAGGAUUAGAUACCCUUGUAGUCC